rnacentral:rRNA from 1 species
UCCGUAGGUGGAUAAGUAAGUCAGAGGUGAAAUCCUGCAGCUCAACUGUAGAAUUGCCUUUGAUACUGGUUAUCUUGAGUUAUUAUGAAGUAGUUAGAAUAUGUAGUGUAGCGGUGAAAUGCAUAGAUAUUACAUAGAAUACCAAUUGCGAAGGCAGAUUACUAAUACUCAACUGACACUGAUGGACGAAAGCGUGGGUAGCAAACAGGAUUAGAUACCCUGGUAGUCC